AUGGGCGGAAGUGAGGUCAUGGGGCGUGGUCUGCAAGGGGAUUGGAGGGCCCAGCUCCUCCUCUUUAGCUCUGUGUCUUUUGUAGCUCGAGCUCUUCCGCUUCAUCCCGUCCUGUCUCUGUGCUGGCACUCUGCAGACCUGCACCACAGGGCCAGCCACCUUCCAAACUGUCACCCUUUUCCCUGUGUACUGUCACCACAGGAGAGGUGGCUCAUCCCAAAGGCCAGGACGGGCAGCCUCGACACUGAAGGGCACCCACACUGAGGUCCCAGCUCCUACCCCCCGUCAGGGGCCCUGGCAGGGCUAAGUAAAAAAAAAAAAAAACCUUCUGUGCCUCUGUUUC
rnacentral:lncRNA from 1 species